UCUUACGACUUACAGAUAAAUAUAUGUAUCUCUCUCUUUCUCUCUCUCUCUCUGGUCUCUUACACAAAUAUAUGUAGCAUGCUUUGUUUGAUUUACCUACUUUCUUGAUCAUCUGUUUGAUACAAAUAGUUGGGUUUUAAAUUUUCUUUUUCGUGUAAUUCAAUGAAUGAUUUACGGUUAUGCUUAGGGAAAGGUUUAGAGAUUGAUGGACUUGACAGAAAAGUUCUAUUGGAAAAUUUUCAUAUAAGUUGCAAUAUUGAAGUCAGACAUUCUACAGAUGGCAUUUUGGGAGGUCCCUGCUCAUUUGUUGCAAAAUUUUGUACACGUAGUGUUGGGAGUUUGAUCGAUAAAAUCUUGUAAAUAGAGAACGAGUAGAGUGUCGUUCGAAUCAUUCCCACGAGAACUGAGAAUUUAAUAUAUUUUUCAAUUAUGCUAAGUUUAUUCGAGUAGCAAGAUUAAAUAUAAAGAAAUUUUAUAUUAACAAUCUAAAAUCUAUCCUAAAUUAACAGUUCUAACUACUUAAUGUGGAAGUUAUUAUUAUUAUUAGAGAAAAUUACCUAGAAACCUGAGUUUAAAAACCAAUUUUCAUAAAUAGGAGGGAUUAAGUUUAAUUUCAUAGUUCAGGUGCUAAUUAGAAGCCAUUAAAUAAAUAUAUUCCCAAUAAUUCAACCUACCUAUUCCUAACUCCCACACACCACACCUUCUCUCUCUCGUGUUCCCAUCAUUGUCGGACAGGCGUUUAUGCUACUUUCAUUUUUCUCUGAUCCGAAAACGCCUAUAUAUAAACCACCGGCAAAUGAAUGGGAUUUUCAUCUUUCCAAGGAAGAAGACUGUGAGGGAAUCUGGUCAAGAUGAGCUACUGCUGUUUUUAGUGAUUAUAUUACAAUAGCGUUGUGGAUUAGGGUUUUUAUGAACCUUGAUUUUGCAAUUGGUGCACGCCUGAGGAAAAUCUGGGAUGGCUCAUAUGAAGCAAACUGCUUGUAAGUCCACUGGAGGAAAGACUCCUAGAACUUGCUACUUAGGUUCUUCAUUGUUUUUUCUACUUAUGAUUUCUGUAAUAUAUUUUUGUAAUCGAGAUAAUUAAAAGCACCUAUGAUCUUUUCCCCACAACCAGUAGGGGAGAAAAACUAAGCUAUUUUCUAUAAUGUUCCCUUCACAAGAUUGAUUGGUUUAGCUGAUAGUAGGGGUGUGUUACUACUGAAAAGCAUUUUUGGUUUUAUUUUUUUCCUAUGUAUUGCAUAUAGUCAGCUAAAUCAUUCCAAGUAUUUGAAAGUUAUGUUCUUUUUAUAGCCAACAAGAUAUAAAGAAA